rnacentral:rRNA from 1 species
AUGGUUGUUCUUGGGGAGCUUGGAGGAAGUGAUGAGUAUUUGCUCCUCGAAUCCUUGAAACAAGGAAAGGUUCAGAAACCUGUUGUUGCUUGGGUUAGUAGGACGUGUGCACGUCUGUUGAAAUCCGAGUCCAGUUUGGCCAUGCUAACAGUGUGCGAUGGUGGUGAGGUGGAAUCUGCACAAGCUAAGAAUCAGGCACUAAGAGAUGCUGGGGCUGUUGUUCCUACUUCAUUGGAAACUCUUGAAAGGAUUAAGGAGACAUUUCAGAAGUUGGUUGAGGAAGGAACAAUUCCUCCUGUCCCUGAGGUUACACCUCCCCCCAUUCCUGAGGAUCUUAAAAUUGCCAUUAAAAGUGGGAAGGUCCGAGCUGCAACGCGUUGA